AUGCAAUUUAUUAUCAGGGAUGCAUAGAUGUAAAGAAUUCAGAUGGAGGGGCGAUGAGUAGUGUGGGAUUUUUACCCAUUAAAACCACCACGGUGACCUUCACUGACGUUGCAGAGAGGCUCCAACGUCGGAGCCUCCCACGUCUUCCGGGAGGAGGUCUAAUGUCUAAUGGCAGUCUAAUGGCAGCCUCGACCUGGCGCCAAAUCCUUGCUAGGAGAGGCCUGGGUCGCCCUUCUUGUCCUCCUCGACUUUACCAACUGCUGGAUGAUCGAUCGAUAAGCAGUGAAGCGAAAUGUCACAGCUGAUCGGGUAUCGAUCUAGUACAAAACUAGUACGAGACCGAAACAUUAUUAAAAUAAUUGUAAAACAAACGUGUAUUCACUUCAUGCACCCUCUCAAAUAAAUCAUUUAAAAAAA